CAAAUUAUUCAGUAAAGUUUUGACAGAAAAUAUAACCUAACUUUUUUUUAUUAUUAUUUAAUAUCUUUUAACAUCAAUCUAAAAUUUUUUUUAGUAAUAUCGUCGAUUUAAGGGGUUAGUAAUAAGCAGUUUUCCAACCUUCCCAUAGAAAAUUCAUCGUCGUCGGCACUAUUUUAGUAACGAAUAGGAGAGAAGAGGUGGUCUUUAUACGCUUUCGAGAUGAACCCAAUAACCCUUAGUCGCUGGGACUUAGUUUAUUGUGACAAGCGGCGCGUUCUGCUUCUAGAAGACCCUGUCAUCGUAAAUUCGGAACACCCUCAUUUGGGGACUCCCCGGGUCGAGUUGUCCCCCUCCUUGGGGUCAAACUGGUACUUUUCGAGCCGGGAAAGACUUUCGUCGAGAAAGAAGAUCAAGAUUUGUUGUUUUUAAUUCUAGUUUGAAAAUAUUUUCGUGGAGUUAAUUACUCAUAAUAAUAAAUCGACGUCAACAAGUUCCAAACCGUCAAGUUACGAGAACAUUCCAAAGACAACCCAGUUUCAUAUUUCAGUACGUUUCAACGUCGUCUUUGUAAUUAAGCAACUGGUAGGGUAAUUGUUACGAUGUAUUCAGAAACCAACCAGAAAUGUGACGUGUACGUGAAGGUUUCCAUCAACAAUUGGAUUAUUUGUUAUUUUAUUUUCUGAAUAAAGAUAAAGGUUUUGGUAAAACGA